rnacentral:lncRNA from 1 species
AGAAACAAGAUAUAACAUUGUGAUACCAUAUAUUAAUACAGUUUGCAAAGAAACGCUUAAUACUUCUACAUGCUCAAGCUGAUUCAUUUGGAAUUGGUUAUAGUUGUAGUUUUAUUUACUUUCUCUUCCUUCAGCCAGUUCCAUUUUAUGUUGCUAGAAUGUUUUCAUCUUUCUCACAAAACAUUGGUAUCCAAUUUUUUGGUUGGCACAUAUGGUUCCUUGUCUAGAUUGAUACUAUUUUAUUGAAGGGCAUUGCAUGGGUUUGGUAACAACAUCUUGUUUUCAUCAGAAGUUGGUCAACUUGCUAUAAUUACUAUAUGUAUAUGUUAUGAUAUAUUGAAAAUUUUAAUAUUUGUCUUGA